ACCAAUUUCUGACUGAGGUUUGCUAGACCAACUCUGACUGACUGACUAUGACUUUGGGACCUUUUCUGCUGCCUUUUAUGAAGAAUACCUGAACAAGUUGAUCGCAACAUCAAAGACUAAUAAUAUGGAAACCAACACCAGAGGUUGGAGACUCCUGUGGUGCCGUGGACCUGAUGAGUCUGAAAUAAAACAUUCCCUGGAAGAAACAUCACCACUAGUCCAAAGCUCCGUCCAUCCGUGGUAAAGACCAAAUUGUUUUCUUCACUGAGAUGAUCACCUUUGAUGAAUUGAGGACCAGCCAAACAUCAGAAUUCUUGGACCAACAUUCAAAGUAUUUAAAAGACUGGCAAGAUUGAUCUACUUCCCUCAAGCUGUCUCCAAAGCGGAAGUACAGUUACUGAUUUUUGCUGUCCACACGAUGUAUAACUUCUAAAAAUGGCUGGGUUAAAAAUAACCCUAUUGGCAACCCAGAGAUGAGUAAAUAUUGGACAGAACACAUGCUGGGUUAAAGUAACCCGGCAUGCUGGUUUACACAUUUUAACCCAGCAGGCUGGGUUGUUGAGAAAACCCAAGAUAGUAAUUUUUACCAUUUAUGUUUGCAUUUUUGUGGUUCUGGGUUAUUCUCAUAAUUUCGCCUAUGCUUAACAAGACAAUCAUGGAUUAAUAAAUAAUGACAAAUACAGGUUAUUUAGACUGUUAAAAAUGUAUUUUUAAUGCCAUCUGACAUUUACAAAUGUGUUAAAAUUUGUACCAAUGACAAAUGACAUGCAAUUUUCUUUUCUUUUUUUCCAGCAAAUGGAAAAAACAACAAAAAA